GGAAGGAAUCCUUCUCUCUCACAUCUCAGUUAUGAGAAGCUCCCCUUCAUCUGCCAACUUUGCGGCGAUUGUUUAGACUGUUUAAGUUAAAACAACUUCAAUACCUGUCCUCUGAUUAGCUGGUGGAAGCGUUAGCUGGGAUGCCAUCUGCAUAUUCUCUUCUCAUGGUGGCUGAGGAGCAAUCCAGGUAGACUCCAGCUGAUCAAAGCUCUCCAUAGUAACCAGCAGCAACUCCAGAAAGGAGAGAAAAUCAACAACUUAUUCAAAGCAGUGUGAACUGGAAGUUGAUUCAAGUCAACUGGAAAAAUCCCAAAUGAUGUCCUACUGGUUGAUGUUGCUGCCCAAGGAGCCUCUCCUCUGUCAUGGAGGGGAAUGAAUGGGUAACAGGGGACAACUGACCUGUGAAGGUUUGUGCAUCUAGAAAAGAACUAAUAAGUGGAAAAAAGCAGAAGUUCUGUUGGAAAUAACACUGAGUCUUGAAACAAAGUCCUGGUGCUGGUAGCAGUUCACCCCAGCACAUCCUGGGGAGUUAAAACUUGUGUCAGUGCUGGGCAACUGCAGUUCAGGGGUGUCUGUGCCUCUCCAAGCUGCCCUGCUGGCUCUGACUGCUGGGGGUCCUCAAAGGAGCUGGAGAGAAGGGAAGGAUCCAUGAAUGAAUCCCAGGAAUGGCAUUCAGCAUUCCUGUUGGGCUACACCAUGAACUGGCAAGGAAGUUCAAACUGGAAUCUGCCUCCUGUGUCUCUGCCAAUAACCACAGAACCUGUGCUUGCUUUUAAUAAAACCAGAGAGUCAUUAACGUUGGAAAAGACCUCUAAGACCAUUGAAUCCAACUGUUAACAAUAUUGGCUCAACAGUAUGUGGCUGGGGGAUAAAAAGUUGUAUUGCUUUAAAAAUUUACUAAUUUACUGAAUUCAAAUGAAAGUGGGAUUUAGUGAAGCAAGCCGAGGGUUUGUGUCUGAACAUCUGGCUGUAGAUGUGACCACUAUUGUGUGUCAGGGAUCUGCAGGACUCUGUUCCACCCCUGUUGGAAAUACCAUGCCAGCAGAGGUCUGGUUUGUGUCAAAACAAACACUGGAUACGUAUUCAGCAAGAACAGUAAUGAAAUAGUUGGCUAUAAAAACCCUUCUGUUCUCAGAACUAAAAUGUGAUGCACUUAUAACAGAAAGGGCACUUUUUGUAAGACAUUGAAGUCUUCUUUAUAUGUUUUGAAUAUAUUUUACUAAAUCAGUUGCCUGGAAAUGGAGUUUAAUUCUGGAAUUCAAUGAACGUUGAACAGUCGUUUCCUCUCUGCACUGUUGGUUGUUUUACAGGUACUUCACAUGCACCUUCUUCAGUCAUGUCUUCUGAGAGCCAGUGUUACAUGGAUUUAUUUGGAUGGGAAAUGGUUCCUCAGUUGGGAUUAUCCUUUUUGUCUCUCUCUGGAUUAUUUUACCAUUCAUAACUGCAGGUAGAAUUGCAGAGGUGCAUCGCUGGUUAAUGCAGUGGUGUCUGUCCUCUGCCUCCCUCUCCAGUAUCUCCCCCAGUGUGUUAACUGCAUUUUUUCAAUGAUAAGAAUUGAUUUGGAAAAUCACUCUGACAACUCCUCUGCAAAGUGCUCAUCAAGGAGUCAUCAAGGACUCCGGUUCUUGCCUUCUUGGCAUGUCUUUGCAUUGUCGAAAUUUUAUUGUCCAGGCUUUGUUGCAGGACCUCCUGAUGCUUUCUGCAUGGUUGGUCUGAAUAACUCUGUCAAAAACUGUCUUAAGGAUCCUGGAAAAGAACUGGAUAACAUUUGGCAACUAUGAGCAUCCUGUGAGUCCUUUUGGACUUCUUUCCUUUCUGGAAAACAUCCAUUCUUCCCUAGCCUUUAAACAACUGUUGGUACAAAACCAGUCUUGGACUUAAUUCUUGUCCUGUGUCAGCUCAGUAUGUUUAAGUGCCUUCAUAAAGGCACUGCUGAAAGAUGCAUUUAAGUAAAAUAAUAAAUCUGUGGUGUAUCAACAACAGAUCUUUAUCUCUCCUGUUGAUGCCUUAACAUUUUUAGAUUUCCAGGGCAAGAGCUCUCUCUGCUCUUAUCUGAGUGUUUGAUCUACUUGAGACUUUAAUAACUUUUAUUAGUUAUUUUAUAAGUUAUGUAAGACAUUUAGUAAGUUUUUUAUUCAGUGCAGUGCUGUGAUGGGUUUUUUUUGCUCCAUAAUCAUUCCUCCUGUGUUUUACUCCACAGGAAUCCUGAGGAAAAUCACAUCCAGCUGCUCUGUAACUGAACUGUCUGACCAGCUGCUCCAGGGCAACAUCCAGAGCUCCAUCCCUCUGCUCCUUGGCUGCCUGGUUGAGCCCCAAGAAGCUGUUCAUGGUGUCUAAAAAUGAUACCUCUGCCCUGUGUCCAAGUGUGUGUCCCACUGCACACGGCAGACACGUCACCUCUGUUCCCAUCCCAAGCCAGAAAUCUGGGCUCCCAUCCUCAGGAAAUC